rnacentral:lncRNA from 1 species
CAGCGAACAGUGGUUUUCAGCGUUCAACCUAUCAGGCCUGGACAAAGUACACAGUUGGGGGCCAGACUGAUCUCCUGGUCAUGAAUGGAUUCCGGGACCUACCAGAAGGAGCAAAGCUUGCCAGGCAAGACCUCCGAAUCAAACUGCGCAAUGCGACAUAACUACCCUCGUGACACCUCCCCCAUUGUCGCCAGUCUCCCUCGAAUCCUAUGUCAAGAACAGGCCCUCAUGAUGACACAGACGGCUUCAUCAACAAUGACAGGUGUUUUGUGAAAAGUUGUAUUUAGAAAAAACCUGCUUGAUAAACUAGUAGGCUAAUUCCCUAGCCAAGCAGAUACAACUAGCAGAGUCAUGUUGGUUGUGAAGUGCAGUAGAAAAACACUGGCUGUUUAUUAUAUCACCCUGUCACAGACUCUCCCGGUCGAUAAGAUUGCCUGCUGCAAUUGUUCGAGAGCUGUCCGAACAUGCAGCAUAGAAAAGACCAGUAAGGGGGGUCCUUAUUAGCAUCAUGCAGACAAGCCCUCGCUGUGAGCAUUCCUAUGAAUGGAACAGUCAGCCAUGUGUCGGGAAGUGUCCGGCCAGCGACCGUCCCCUGUCAACAGCAACAGUUUUCUCAAGCUCAUCAUUUGUACAAACACGGAAGGUAAACCACUUUGUUACUUUGAUACCUUUGAGGACCCAAUUGUGAAACAAUUUAUGCAAACGGACAUUAUUUGUUGCUUAUUCUUUCUACUUCUUAGAUGCAUAUAAUGUCUAGAGCAUAACCUAGCCUGGUGGAACCUGCCUGAUCGAAGUGAAUUAGAAAGGUGAAUGCGGCGUUCAGCUUGGUUCCACCAGGCUAAUGAUAACCACCACUGAUAACGUAAUCUGUGUUGUGCGUGUGCAACGGCCCAGUAUCUUUGGUGAGUGGCCAGGAGCUGACCUACGCUGCUAUGUACAUCAACGGGGCUCUGGCAAAGACCUCACCUCCAGCCUCGCCUCUUGCCUGCUCCCCAACGGUGGCCGACGGCGAGAACAGAAUUAGAUGCAUGAGAUGCGGAGAGACCGGGCACUCAACCCAUCCACUCAACCCAUCCACUCAACCCAUCCACUCAACCCAUCCACUCAACACAUCCACUCAACACAUCCACUCAACACAUCCACUCAACCCAUCCACUCAACCCAUCCACUCAACACAUCCACUCAACACAUCCACUCAACACAUCCACUCAACACAUCCACUCAACACAUCCACUCAACCCAUCCNNNNNCCACUCAACCCAUCCACUCAACCCAUCCACUCAACACAUCCACUCAACCCAUCCACUCAACCCAUCCACUCAACACAUCCACUCAACCCAUCCACCCAACACAUCCACAAGGAGGUGAUUACUAAUAAUACAGUACAGCGCACAUGUCCAGUAAUAGCAAACACCCUUUUCAUUACAUAUGUCACUGAUGAACUCUGCUUCAACUCUGCCUAUUUCCACAGACGGACUGGAGACCAUAAUUGGGUAGGCUUUAUCUGACCUGUUCAAUCUAGUACCUGUUUGUGUGUCGGAUAUGACCUAUCCCAACCGCCAUUGGUAAUAGAACAGUGACUAUGUGUGUACGUGUUCACAGUUACAAAUCCAGACUGAGAGAGACCUGGCACUCUCUGCAUUCAAAUUUUACGAGACACAACGUUUACCUUGAAUUGUUGAAUUGUAUGGUAUAAGUCAAUAUUGGGAGAGAAAAACCCUGUGUAUUCUGCACCAGGAUCAGGGAACUCCUGUUGUAUACGGGACACUGCUUCUUUGGCAUUAUGUAAAGGGUUGAUUAUUGAUUAUUCUUCAUGGACCAGUUACUACAUUUGAAAGUUAUCGAAACACGUACUUUAGAAAAUCUACAUAAAUGCUGCAAUUGCAUUCUUGUCAUAACUCUGUAGGCUACUGACCUAUUCAAAGCUUCCUCCGGCAUCUCACCAUACAUCUGCCUGUAGUUAUUGAACUCAACUUGCAAGAGUUUUUUUGUUGUUGUCAUGAUUGAGUUUGGGGAAGCAGCUGCUGGCAAGGUCAGUUUGUCUUGGUGGUGGCUAAGAACUCCUCAAGAAACACCCUCAUUAAACCACACCCCCAAAACCAACUCAUGUUUGGCUUCUAUCAUGGCUGCCAGCAUUUCUUGAGGAGCAAGGCAAAAAACGAAACCAGCGGAUGCAGUUCCACUUUAAAAUGUCUUGAAUUGUUGGUUAGCAAUAGAGAACAACAACUUUUUGAGAUAUUACUAACAUAUACUGCCGUACUCUCUUGUAAGAAAAGUGGAGAUAAAAUGGAAGAUGAAUCUCUCGUGACGUUUUUAAAAAAAAUGUAAGACAUCCAAACAUUUGAUAAAAUAUGUGAAAAGUCCAGACUAGACUUAACGGGUACUGAAUGUGUACUUGAACGGACCAUGGGUGUUCCAAAUAGUCCAUGGGUGUCCAAUAGUCAUCUUCUUUUCUCUCGUUUGUUUACAUUUUUUGUCCACCACUUGAAGGUCUUCUAUCCCUGAUAUCCUUCAUCCCUGAUCUAAUUAUUCUCGAUCUGCAUCAAUGACUACCUGUCCACUCCAAACGUCUUGGCGAGAGUUCAGAAGUUUCUAAUUGUUCCAAAUGGUUUCUAAUGUUGUUAAAGGCAUCAUGGCUACCUGCCUAAUAUGCACAACUGUAGUUUUUGUGUGUUUUAAUCAACUUAAAAUCAACAACAACAAAAAAACAUUUAUGCUCAGGUUCAUUGAAUAUUAGGGAUAUCAACACACUAUCCCAUGAGUUUCAAUGCAAACCGGGGCUUAAUAGGAGCAUAACGGUGCCUUCAAAAAGUAUUCACAACCCUUGACUUUGUCUACAUUUUGUUGUGUUCCAGCCUGAAUUUAAAAUGGAUAUAUAUUGGGAAUGUGUGUCACUGGCCUACACACACACACACACACACACACACACACACACACACACACACACACACACACACACACACACACACACACACACACACACACACACACACACACACACACACACACACACACACCAUCAUGUCAAAGUGGAAUUAUGUUUUUAUUAAAAAUGAAAAGCUGAAAUGUCUUGAGUCAAUAAGUAUUCAACCCCUUGGUUAUGGCAAGCCUAAAUAAAUUCAGGAGUAAAAAUGUGCUUAACAAGUCACAUAAUAAGUUGCAUGGACUUGUGCAAUAAUAGUGUUUAACAUGUUUUUUUUAAUGACUAUCAACUCUGUACCCCACACAUACAAUUAUCUGUAGAGUCGAGCUGUGAAUUUCAAACACAGAUUCAACCACAAAGAAGAGGGAGGUGUUCUGAUGCCUCGCAAAUAAGGGCACCUAUUGGUAGAUGAGUAAAAAAAAUAUAUAUAUAUAGCUUUGAGUGUGACAGGGUUAUAUUGGUUAUUCCCUUUGACACUUUAUUGUUAAGCCAAUGGGUUUUUGGUUUGAGUUUGUCUUGCCUUCACCUACUCAACAUGGCAUCUUAUUGGCUGGUUUGCGUAGCUUGCUUACGAGGGGGGAUGUUCCAGUUAGAAUCGUCCCAGUGAACAAGCACCAAACCAGCGGUAAGUUGUUGGUUACAAAGCACUGUACAUCAAAAGUGAUUUUUAUACUAAAAUUUUUUGUAAAUGUUAUUCGAACAUCACACAUAAGAUGCAGCGGUUUUUGGAGAAUAUUUGUUGUGCAUUUUGUUGUAAAGAAUUCCCGCCAGUACUAGCUAGCAACUUACUGUGUCUGGUGGGGGGGGUUCAUAUAUUUUGUACAGUGCGUGAGUGCAGAGUUGGAUGGUGAGACGUGCAUUGCAUGACGUGCAAUUUUGUGCCGUUCCUAUCAGAAUAAAUCUACUUGACUGGUGCUACAUGUUGGAGUUCCGUGUCGAUGACUGAUUGUACACAACGCAAGAAGAGUACUGUUACAUGAGCAUGGUGAAGUUCUAAAUUACACUUUGGGAUGGUGUAUCAAUACACCCAGUCACUACAACGAUACAGGCGUCGUUCCUAACUCAGUUGCCGAAAAGAAUGGAAACAGAUCAGGGAUUUCAUUGUGAGUUCAUGGGUUACUUUUAAACAGUUAGUGUUUAAUGGUUGUGAUAGGAGACAACUGAGGAUGGCUCAACAACAUUGUGGUAACUCCA